rnacentral:rRNA from 1 species
UACAGAGGAGCCAAGCGUUGUCCGGAAUUAUUGGGCGUAAAGGGCUCGUAGGCGGUUUGUCGCGUCGGGAGUGAAAUCCACUGGCUUAACUGGUGGCUUGCUUUCGAUACGGGCAGACUGGAGGUAUGCAGGGGAGAACGGAAUUCCUGGUGUAGCGGUGAAAUGCGCAGAUAUCAGGAGGAACACCGGUGGCGAAGGCGGUUCUCUGGGCAUGUCCUGACGCUGAGGAGCGAAAGUGUGGGGAGCGAACAGG